CUUCAGCGAGCCCAGGUACAGCGGCCGACCGGCCGGCCGGUCCUGGCCGUAGGUCGCGAGGACGGCCUGGGCCUC
rnacentral:antisense_RNA from 1 species